UAGGGAAUCUUCGGCAAUGGGGGGAACCCUGACCGAGCAACGCCGCGUGAGUGAAGAAGGUUUUCGGAUCGUAAAGCUCUGUUGUUAAGGAAGAACGAGUGUGAGAAUGGAAAGUUCAUGCUGUGACGGUACUUAACCAGAAAGGGACGGCUAACUACGUGCCAGCAGCCGCGGUAAUACGUAGGUCCCGAGCGUUGUCCGGAUUUAUUGGGCGUAAAGCGAGCGCAGGCGGUUAGAUAAGUCUGAUGUGAAAGCCCCCGGCUCAACCGGGGAGGGUCAUUGGAAACUGGUUGACUUGAGUGCAGAAGAGGAGAGUGGAAUUCCAUGUGUAGCGGUGAAAUGCGUAGAUAUAUGGAGGAACACCAGUGGCGAAGGCGACUCUCUGGUCUGUAACUGACGCUGAGGUUCGAAAGCGUGGGUAGCAAACAGG
rnacentral:rRNA from 1 species